UGCCUCUCUAAGAGUGAGCCGCACUGCUCAGCGACACUGCUUUGGCGGGUGCUAUUGCUGAACCUUUGCACACGUGCUGUCAUGAAGCUAUACAGAUUGAUUGGCUUCAAAAAUAAAAAAAAGAAUCUGAAUUCUGAAGACUUGCUGCUGGAAGCCUGAAAGUACUGGGGACCAAUAUCCAAAGGCAAUGGCAAAGACCAGAGCUCCUCCACAGAAAAAAAAGACAAUUCAUCCGUCCUUACUCCACCUAGGGUACAAGCUUACUGGUUGACGCAAACCUCAUACAGCACACAUCUUCCCUCCUUAGGCUGUGGCCUACACGCACAAACACUCAGGGCUUUACUAAAUCUGCUAGGUGGCUCAUACACCACUCAAGUGGACAUAUCACAAUUCAUGAUCACGAAUACCUAAGUUGAGUCUUUCUCUAAACUUGCCCUUCAUAGAUACUCUUCAGAUGUACAAAUUAUAGUAUGAUUCCAGCACAUCUUUGCAUGUAGAAGCCAAACAUUGUGCAAUAAAAGCCUCAAGGCAACCACAGUCACGACUUCAGAAAGAACAAAUCACCUGCACACGAGACAUCUGCUUCCUAAUACUCUGCACCUUGUCACGGUCAACAGUUCUUUAAACUGUGUUGAUUUAAAGCUUAAAAACAAUUUUUUCUCAUGAGAAAAUGAAGAUGGGAAAAAUUUAUUUUCACAGGAUAAAAUUUAUAGAAAAAGAGAUAAAAUGUGCAUUGUCUAUUUUUUCCUGUGCAUUGGUGAGUUCUUCACCAUUCUAGAUGUAUAUUGGCCCAAACUGCUCUGUGCCUAGAUAUUUACAUGCUGUUUUAUCUUUUUAAAACUACAGUAUUUCUUUACUCCCACACCUUUACUAACCCAUCUAGUCAUUUCUGUAAUAAAUUCUAAGCAUUUUAGAAGUUCCUCUCUAUUUCUGAAAGUAUAAUGAUCCUAAGGUUGAAUCCUCAUAAUGCUGAAUCAAAUCACUCAACUUAAAUUACUCAAUUGAUGCUGUAUUACAGGACAUAUGAUGACAUUUUGUGUAGACUAGGGACAUAUUUGUUGUGGCUAUUAUCAAUGUCCUGUCACACCAUCUGGAUUACAAGAACACACAUAGAAUACAAAAAUAUUUGGCCAUAUUCUAGAGAUUAUGAUCCACAGGCUUCUAAGACUCCUAAAUCUCCUAAGAAAAGAAGUAAUGAGAAAACUAAAGAAGCAAAAAAGGAAACAAAAGAACAGAUGGUAGAGAAAGUGAGGAAAGAGUCUGGAUAGUGAGAAAGAAGGAAUAUAGGGACCAAAGUGCCCCUUUAACUACACUCCCAGAAACAAAACUCUGAAGAAGAGUUGAUGGGUAAGGCUUUUUUCAUUUUGUUCUUCUGGUCCUCAUUCCUGAGGAUGAAUAUGAUGCAGUUUUGACCAUGGUGUGUCAGAUCUUUCAAAGAGACUCGGAUAUUUCCAAAACUGGGACAACGUAAAUGACAAAGGAACAGCCAGAAUGCUUGACAACCAGCAGAGCCAGAGUACUUGAAAACCACAGUGAGGUACACUGCACACAUGGAGAAGGGCAUCUGCUGUCCCUCAGUAGAGCAGAUCCUUAACUUGGAGGUCACAAUGAAGACACAGGAGAAUACAAUUAAGAUUAAACAGUCAAUGAGAUCUCACAGCCAGUAAGACUUCUUCUCCCUACAAUUCAACUUCAUGAGGAAAAAUGUGGCAGAGAAAAUCUUGGGUUACAUUAGACUCACAUAGGACAAGGUGGAAAACUAGUAUUGUCACCAAAAUGCUAUAACUGAACAUGGGACGUAUGUCAGGACAAAGCCCCAAGAUAGGCACUUUCACAAGGGCUGCUUGGCAUACUGUCACACAAAGGCAUGGAAAGGGACACACAGUGGGCUUACCCCCACAACCACGAGGAAGGGUUGUGUAGCAAAAGCUGAAGUGGAACAUGUGGUUAGCUCAGGCCAUACAUGUGAAGCAGCAGUGGAGGCACAGCACAGUAAUAUCACUGAUGGUCAUGCUGAGCACAAUUUCAGAGAUGCAGAAAGCAGUCAGGAAGAGGUACAUGGCUGUGUGUGGACUGUAUGCACUCUGGCAAGGAACUGAAGUGACAAUCAGUUUUCUAGUGUACAUUCCUCUCCCAGUGGGUUUGCAAGUAACUCCUUGCAGAGUCCCCUGCUGUGGAACAGGUGCAUCAGGAGGAAGACAGCUGGCUGGAGCUGCCAUGGGAGAACAAAGAAGCCAAGAGGAUGAACUGCAACCACAUGUAACAGUUCUGAAGGAGCACAGCUCUUGUGCCUGCUGAGAUCCAACACAGAAUGAAAACACAGUGGUGAAAACUUAGGUGGUUGCACAGCUCAAAUGGGAACUUAAUCACUUACCAGUCCAAUUAUUUAAAUACAGGAUGAUCCAAGAUUGCAUAUUUUUUGUGAAUUUUUAUAAGAUAAUAUAGCAGGAAAUAUGAAAAUGACAAUUUUAUCAAAUUUAUUCAAUACAAGAAUCAACAAGUUGAAAUGACUCCUGCUUGAGUGACGCUAGGGAUGGUAUGUAAACAAAAGUGCUGCCCACGUGAUGCUUGGAGGACACUGCUAAGUGGUUAAUAAUUCU
ensembl:lncRNA